AUGCGGGAGGUAGAGCAUUGCAUGCGGCAGCAAAGAUACAACCAUGUUAAAAAAUUCAAACCAUCGACGGGAAUUAGAGUGUUGUGUGCGGCAGGAAAGAUACAACCAUGUUCAAAAAUUCAAACCAUCGGGGUCACAGUUGCAAGAUGGGGAUUGGAUGGCAUGGACACAUUUAGCUUUUUUUUUGCGAGAAAAUUUCUGAUCUAUUCAUCUUCAAUCAUGGCAGUACAACGAAUACCAGAAAUAAUAAAAAUUACAUCCAGAUCCAUAGACCACCUAGCGACGACUACCAGCACUAAAGCGAGCCGAUGGCGCACCGCCGUCAUCGCCCCUCUAUCGCCGGAGUCGGGCACAACUUGUUGUAAUAGACAGUCAGGAAGUCGUCGUGCUAAGGCCCGGUAG
rnacentral:rRNA from 1 species